UAAAUGGUUUUGUAGAUUUAAUUAGUGAAAAGGCCUCAAUUGGUUUAUGCAACAUUGCUUGUUCUGUUGGCAGUUGGAGCAUACUAGGCAAAUGGGCCUUGCCGUGAGUCGUGGUGCAACAGUGACCUCGAUGGGCAGGGCAAUGGUCAGAUACGAGUCAACACCAAAGAUGACUGUAAGCACUCAAAAAAGUUUACCACGCUAGGGCGAUGUCAGGUACUUACUGUUCUUUUGUGCUUUUUGUUUUCUAUUUCCCGUCAGAAGCUCAUUCCAUAAUCAAUUUGCAGGUUGUACGAGGGCAGUUAAUGAAUAUACUUGUGACACUUAUACUCUCAGGUAAAUUACUAAUCAUUCAAAUCACUAAUCAGGUCAAGCACAAUAAUAAGCCCACCAGUCAUAGAAAAGGAAAAAUAACCACGAAGUGAAAAUAGAUUGUGAAAAUUAGACGGCUCGGAUGAUGUAAAAGACAGAAUCGGACGACCAGCGACUUUUUCAAUCUGGGCGAGCUCGGAGUAGCCGAGUUGCCCAGCCAGAUUAAUUUUUAUUGGGCAUUCAGAUUCUUAUUUUGCGUUUCGUAGAUUUUUAGCUGGGUGUAUAAACAUACACACGCACACUGACUUCAGAUUUCAGUGACGGGGGUAAAUUAUUGUGCCAUAUAUAUUGUUGCCAUAUUUAGUAAUCAUGCAUAUACAUGUACAUUGGUUUUUAUCAAAUGUACAUGUGCUCCUGUAGCAUAUCUUCAGGUUUGGGGAUUUAAAUGCCCUUUGUUUUGUGUACCAGGUGGUUAACUGAGAUUUUGUUUGCUUAUUCUACUGUUUUUUUAGCAAUGCCGACAAACAUGGUUUAUGAUGAUAUUGGUGGUCUGAAGCUUUAGAUCGUCGGGGCUGCUCUCAUUCGUUCAAUUUGCCAGUGAGCCCUUCCAUUCUACUGCUG
rnacentral:lncRNA from 1 species